AAAAAAUUAGUUAAACUAAUAACAUUAGCUUGUCAAGUUAAAAUUAUCUAAUAGAUAUUUUUUA
rnacentral:tRNA from 1 species